ACUGAUGCUGGUCCCGCCCGCAAGCCAUUUUAACACCCACCACUAUCAGAACACUGCAAAGACUCCCAGAGGAAGACCGAUCCGGUUGAAACACGUUGGAGGAGACGACUAAGAGACAUCAAACCAUUGGAGGAUAGGAGAGUGCUGUGAGACCCUCGGACCUACGGCGCAGACAUCGCACUGAUGUUUUAUCAGUAUUUCCUUUGAGAUCAGAGAUGACCUUGAUUUCAUAUCACUGAGCCCUGACCUGCCAUAGUGAAGCGCUCUGAAGGAAUACAUACUGUAUGUUGAGCAGUGCUGGAGUUUGCAGUAGGGGAAGGACAGAGGAGGGAAACAGAGGCUUGCUGGGCGACUUAUAAUGCCAUUUGUCUUCUCUGGGAGAGCUAUGCCCUAAUGCAAGUACAAAGUUAAUUAUUGCAUUGUACAGUGCAUUAACAUUAAAUCUUAGGCAGGUGCUUGAUGGUGUGCAUUUAUCACAUGCUGACACAAAGUACAACCUUUAAUAUCACAUGUACAAAUAUUGUGGUUAUGCUGGAUAGAAUCAUAGCUUUCCAAGACACUUUGUACAGAAAUGUUUAAGUAAAUAUGCAAGAAAAUAAAA